UGCCAUGUAGGCCUGUGACCCGACACACGCAGGUAACGUGUGAAGCUGCAGCUUGUGUCUGAGGCGGCUGGCGCAGACUGGCAGCCUUUGUUCACGGUGUCCCUACAGGGCGAUAACAGGCACGUCGUUUUACAAGUCACUGCAGCUCGGAGAUCGCCUCCACAUACCUGAUCAGCAGGUUUUCGUGUCACAUCUGAAACCUGUUAAUGUUCUGAGGUCUGAAAGCCAAGAUGCACAGCAGCUUAAUGUGCCAACAACACACGUUUGGGGAGAAGUGUCAGGAGAAGCUGAAAGAAGCAGCCGUUUGUUGGCCCCGAGGCAACUCCUGAGGCGCAGACGCGCUUGGGGCAUUUUCAGGGCACUCAGAGUCCCUGUGCCGGAAGGUUCCGGAUGCUGGCGGGCUGCCCGUCAUGGGAAAAGUUCCGAGGGGUUUCGCGCAGGCCGUGGCAGGCAUGCAGAACAGAUGCAGGCGGGUGUCCCCCAGGCAGCUCCGGUUGGGACCUAACCAGGUGGGUGAUCCCGGAGCUGGGCGCUGGCACAGGCGGGGACGGGUCACCAGCCCAGGGGAGCUGGAGCACAGUCCCGAGGCCCGAAGCUGCCCCUGGCACGCACCCGCAGCAGCGGCUCAGCCCAGCACGUUGGCGAGAAGCUGAGGCCUCACAGACACGGUGCAGCCGUGUCCACGUUCUCCGGGGGUGGGGUGGGGCGAGCUGAGGGCAGGCGGCCAGGAGAGAGCCCUCCACCCACCCAUGCCAACGCCCGCCACUUUGGGAUGAUUUUGUGAAGCUAAUGGUGACUGAGCAGCAAAGGGACUCGAGUCUUGUCAUUCCUCCUGACGGGCUUGGAGAAGACAGUGGCAUUGGUGGCGAUCGUGUUCCUCAAAGUCUGCAGAUGUGAGGCCGACAAGAGGUUGUAAGUGCCCACGGGACUGUGGAGGAGACAAACCUAGGAGGUGCCAAUUUUUUGCUUUGCCAAAUAUGUGAAGAGAGAACCACCAGAAAGAAGCCAGAUGCAAAAUGCCACAGUGUGUGAGUCCAUUUUUGUGCUACACCCAGAACAGGCAACUCCACAGGGACAGACAGCAGACUGUAGGUGCCGGGGGCGGGGGGCUGCUGACAGGGGUGUGGUCUCCACGGGGGCUGAUGAGCAAGUGCUGGAACCAGACAGUGGUGAUGGGGGCACAUCACCGGCUGGAUUAAAUGCUCCUGAAUUUUAAAGGUAAAUGUUCUGUAUGUUUUCACCACAAUAAGAAAACCGUGGCCUUCUUUCAUCAUUUCAGAGAAGGGUUAGACAGAGGACGUGGGCUCCCAAGGAAGGGGCUGAGGUGCCCUCACACAGCCACACAUGCACCUGAGGCGAGGCGCCAGCUUCUGGAAGGUCCACACAUCAGGGCGGGCGCCCCCAGGGACAGAGCAUCUGGGUGUGGCCACAUGGGUCAGGGUGGCACCGGGCAGUCCUCAGGGCUCGGGUCUCCUGUGAGGUUGUUGUGGGCGGAGGGGGCGAUUCUGUUCUUUCAUUUACUUUGUAUUAAUUCCCACUCUGUUGUCUUUGGUAAACUUGCUCAUACUCAUUACAAAGAACUCAGGCCAAGUAUCAAGAGUUUGGAAGUCGCUAAAACAGCCCAGAAACAGCAUGGCCAACGCCAUGUGCCCGCCAUCCGGUCUCAGGUCCUGACGGACGGCGACGGGAAGACAAGCAGAAACGCCUUAUUCGGAGGAGGUCCCGGGCAAGCUGUUUUCAACAGAAAGCCUCACAUUUUAUUUGCUUGAAUUUAACAGAAGGAAAAAUAAACGAAGUGAAACUGAA